GACGAACGCUGGCGGCGCGCUUAACACAUGCAAGUCGAACGGAAAGGCCUGCUUUCCCUUGUGGAUUGCGGGUACUCGCGUGGCGAACGGGUGAGUAACACGUGAGUGAUCUGCCCCCAACUUGGGUAUAAGCCUGGGAAACUGGGUCUAAUUCCCGAUAGGACCGCAGGGUGGUGUCUGUGGUGUAAAACGAUUGUGUAGUGGUUGGGGAUGAGCGGGCGGGUUAUCAGCUUGUUGGUGGGGUAAUGGCUUACGAAGGCGGCGACGGGUAGCCUGCCUGGGGGGGCGGGCGGGGACAGUGGGACGGAGAUACGGCGCAGGCUCCUACGGGAAGCAGCAGUGGGGAAUAAUGAGCAAUGGGCGGAAGCCUGAGGGAGCGACGCCGAGUGAGGAAUGACGGCCGUGGGAUGGUGACCUCCUGUCGGCCGCGAGGAAGCCACUUGGUUGAAAGGGUGGUGACGGUAGUGGUAGAAGAAGCACCGGCUAACUACGUG
rnacentral:rRNA from 1 species